rnacentral:lncRNA from 1 species
GCGGAGGCUGAACGUCGAAACCGAAACCCCCUUUGCGAGAUUCGCUGCAUCUAUACCUGAUUUGCGUUCAAAAAUGCCUGCUUAAUUAUUUCAUAGUAAGAGCAAACAUGCCUUAAGAAAAGGAGUAGGUUUGAAACUUUAGUAACCAUAAAAAGUACGCCAGGUGGAUGCCUUUCUACUCCAGGAAGCCGCAGCCUACGGCCUGAAGGAGGAAGAGGACGCGGUCAGUUUGAAAUAGCUGUUGUGAUAGAGCUGGACCUGUAGACAAGGGAACUAACACAUUUGAGGAAAAAAGAAUCCAAAAUAAGAGAUUGGUGUGUGUGGUGAGGGUAAAGAAGUCCACAUGCAGCAGCAUCUUGGAAAUGCUGUAAUGCAGGGGUGCCCAAACUCAGUUCUGGACAGCUGGUGUCCUGCAGAGUUUAGAGUCAACUUCAACUAAACUCUGCAAGACAGCAGCAGUUCUAGACUGAGUUUAGCCACUCCUGUUCUCCUGUAGUGAACUGAACGAGACCCUGCAUCAGUCCACAUGCCCUUGUGUCCUCAUCUGGACCAGAUGUUGCUGUGGUCUCUUCAUCAUCCGUAUCUCGGGCAUGGACUGCCAUGCAUCACCGUCCUGUUUCAGUCUGACUGCAGCAAUGAGGGAUGUGAUGAUGGCGAAGUCCCUCUGAUCAUCUGAAGAACUGGCCCAGCUGUGUGGAGAUACAGCAAAACAUGGGCUUCUGUCUGUAAUACAUCACUGUUAGAAUAAAGCUUGGUUUCAUGUGUUGGUGACUUGUAUUUAUUUGUCAUGAUUACUCAUAUUCAUUCUUUUAAUAAUAUAAUUAUGUUUCUGUUUGUUUUCAAUAAAUAAUGAUAAUACUUUC